UGAAAAUAAUUUCUAAUAAACAAUAGUUUGAAACGAUACAGAGAAGAUUAGCAUGGCCCCUGCACUAAGGAUGUAAGUAAUUCCUAUGCGAAAAUGUCGUCUUCA
rnacentral:snRNA from 1 species